CAUCCUCCAAGGCUAAAUACUCCUGACUGACCGAUAGUGAACCAGUACCGUGAGGGAAAGGCGAAAAGAACCCCGGCGAGGGGAGUGAAAAAGAACCUGAAACCGUGUACGUACAAGCAGUGGGAGCACCCUUUGGGGUGUGACUGCGUACCUUUUGUAUAAUGGGUCAGCGACUUAUAUUCUGUAGCAAGGUUAACCGUAUAGGGGAGCCGGAGGGAAACCGAGUCUUAAUUGGGCGUUAAGUUGCAGGGUAUAGACCCGAAACC
rnacentral:rRNA from 1 species